rnacentral:rRNA from 1 species
UACGAAGGGGGCUAGCGUUGCUCGGAAUCACUGGGCGUAAAGGGUGCGUAGGCGGGUCUUAAGUCAGGGGUGAAAUCCUGGAGCUCAACUCCAGAACUGCCUUUGAUACUGAGGAUCUUGAGUUCGGGAGAGGUGAGUGGAACUGCGAGUGUAGAGGUGAAAUUCGUAGAUAUUCGCAAGAACACCAGUGGCGAAGGCGGCUCACUGGCCCGAUACUGACGCUGAUGCACGAAAGCGUGGGGAGCAAACAGG